GAUAAUAAAUAAAAAAAAUCAAAAUAGAUAAAUAUGAUUACAUACAUUUUUAUAUGUAAUGACCAUUACGUUACUUUAAAUAUAAUUAAUUACAUUACGUAAUUGUCAUUCUAUUACGUCAAAUGUUUUUGUGUUACUAAAUAACAUAAUCAAAUAUGUAAUGUAAUUGCGAUUACAUUAUAAUUUUAAUUACGCCAUACCAAACAUGGCCUUUGAGAGAAGGCAACUGAAUCUAUAAUAAUGUCUUAUGUUUGACCUUGAGUAAUAAUUUCACCACGCAAAAUUGGUUGAUUCUCCUAAAAGAAAUGAAGAAAAGAAUAUUCGUAUGUGAUCCACCCAUUUAGAUUUAGAAUGAGAUUUUAGAUAACUAGGCAGUAUGGUUGUCAUAGCAUAAUGUUAUGCACCAAAUUCAGUUGUAACUCCGCUUGAAAUCCAUAACUUCUGAAUCAAGUACAAGUAACAAAAAAAAGGGGAAAAGUACAAAAAAGAAAAAAUCCCUGUGGCUUUGCGUUUUGACACAUAAAAGAUUAUUUUAAUUUUUAUUAAUUUGAUACUCUGUGUUUUUCUCCAUUAGCAAAUAUAAUCCAAACCAUCAAUUACUAUUAAGUGGCACUAACGUGGUGAAUACAUGGCAGACACAUCAGCACCAUGUCAACAAUUUUAAUGCUACUAUAGCGGGCAUCAGCGCCACGUUCAUCGUGUGUCCGCCACGUUAGCACCACUUAAUGGUAACUAAUAGCUUGGACCAUAUUUACUAACAAAAAUAAAUACAAGGUAUCAAAUUGACAAAAAUUAAAGCACAAUCCCUAAUGUGUCAAACUACGAAACCACGGGGAUCUGUUUUGUAUUCUUCCCAAAAAAAUAUUAUACUUUUUCACUCACAUUUACCAAAUUUUCAUGCAGACGUUUGCCAAAGAGCUCUGGAUAAUAAAGAAACAGAGAUUUUCAUAUAAUAAUUCCAUCAAAAUGGUUCAAUCCCAUCUAUUACUGAUAAUUAAAGAAUUACAAUCAGGAAUCUUGCAAGUGCCUUCUCAUAUAUAACUUUUACCUGAAGACAAAAAAUGACAUGAUGCAACAAAAAGCUUAGCCAUGAGAACAAACUCACCUUGUAACCACAGCCAGAUACACAGGCAUGGAAGCACUCCUCAGAAUAACUAGCAGCUCCAGGAGACCGGUCAAUGUAAGCACUCCACUGUUGAUCCUUCAAUACAGGGUCCUUAUAACAUAUUUCAUUACACUCUUCCAAACAUUCUUCCCAUGUUUCUCCAUCGGCAUCACAUCCCUUCUUGCAGAACACUCGCCCUGCAAAAAUUCAUGCUACUGUUUAAACAGAUAUAACCGAUAUUUGAUUUCAGACCUAUAUCCAUGCCAAUUGUGAUAUAUGAAUAACAAUAUCAAAGACAAUCUCAUGCGCUCAGUAGGCAUGUCACCACACACUUCUAAAAACUCACAGAAGGGGACAAACAUUUCCCGUUAGGAACAUUUUAAAUACCCAUUUCCUAAAUAAAAUCCAGGUAAUCAAAGGGCUUGCAUCAAAGGGAAGAUUGCUUCUUUGUUCUUUAAACUAAAUAACCAAACACAUGAAAGCUUAUAUAUUAUUUUUCAUUUCUUAUUCUCUAAGGCAAUGCCUGCUUUAAUCAAAAGUCUGAGGUACCAAGAUUCAUUGAUUAUGGGAAAUUAACAAUAUAAAUACACACACAUGCAUAAUCAAGUUCCCGGCUUCCCCCACCAAAAACAUACAUAUAAACAAGUGAAUCAACAAAAAAAUCCAUCUUUAACCGAUCAGAAAUACAAAACCAGAGAUCUAAUAUACAAUUGCAGAUAAUUAACAAGAAAAACCAGAGGGAAAGUAGCCAGAAAUGAAUGGUUGUUUGAAAGAAAAAAGAUAAAG
rnacentral:misc_RNA from 1 species